rnacentral:rRNA from 1 species
CUAACAAGGAUUCCCUCAGUAACGGCGAGUGAAGCGGGAAGAGCUCAAAUUUGAAAUCUCCGAUGCUUGCAUCGGCGAGUUGUAGUUGCGAGAAGCACUUUCUAGGCGGAUCGACGGUGCCUAAGUUGCUUGGAACGGCACGUCGCAGAGGGUGACAACCCCGUCUGUGGCGCCGCCGGCCGCCGACGAUGUGCUUUCGAAGAGUCGGGUUGUUUGGGAAUGCAGCCCAAAACGGGUGGUAAACUCCAUCUAAAGCUAAAUACUGGCGUGAGACCGAUAGCGAAGGAAACGAAUGGACUCAGCAAUGCGCCCUCUGAGAUUCAGCCGGUGGGUGGCGGCGGCGCCGGGUUUGCGGAUCUGAAUGGACCGCGGCCUGGCGCCCGCCUCUCCCCGCCGUCGCACUUCUCUGGGGCGCGCGUCAACGUGGGUUGGGACUGGGUCUGAAAGGCGCCGGGAAGGUAGGUGUGGGCCUUCGGGUCCGUUCUGUUACAGCCCGGUUCUCUCAUGGCUCGGGCCCGACCGAGGAGCGACACGGGGCAUGCCUCCUGUGGCUAGGGUCCCGCCCUUCCGGCCGGCUGUCCAGUGCGGUGGACUGCUUGCAGUGCUCCGCGACGGCUGCCGGUCGUUGGGGUGGUGAUCU